rnacentral:rRNA from 1 species
AGUGGGGAAUAUUGGACAAUGGGGGCAACCCUGAUCCAGCAAUGCCGCGUGAGUGAUGAAGGCCUUCGGGUUGUAAAGCUCUUUUGCCAGGGACGAUGAUGACGGUACCUGGAGAAUAAGCCCCGGCUAACUUCGUGCCAGCAGCCGCGGUAAUACGAAGGGGGCAAGCGUUGUUCGGAAUUACUGGGCGUAAAGGGCGCGUAGGCGGCCGAUCAAGUCAGGCGUGAAAUUCCCGGGCUCAACCUGGGGGCUGCGCUUGAUACUGAUUGGCUUGAAUGCGGGAGAGGAUAGUGGAAUUCCCAGUGUAGAGGUGAAAUUCGUAGAUAUUGGGAAGAACACCGGUGGCGAAGGCGGCUAUCUGGCCCGUUAUUGACGCUGAGGCGCGAAAGCGUGGGGAGCAAA